UAAGGGCAUUUGGUGGAUGCCUUGGCAUGCACAGGCGAUGAAGGACGUGAUACGCUGCGAAAAGCCGUGGGGAGCUGCGAAUGAGCUUUGAUCCAUGGAUCUCCGAAUGGGGCAACCCACCUUAAAUACCUAGAAAAUCAUUCUGGUUGUCGGAUCGUCGAUCCGACAUUACGGCGAACGAUUGCCGACGGCCUCUGGCCUGUAUGGGAGUUUCCCAAUACAGCGCGAGAGCGCGUCGCCGGUCGUCCGGCGCGCCCACGCAGCGCUGCACGAAGUGCAGAACGAGUGUGAGUGAAAACCCGAAUGGUUUCUAGGUAUUGUGAUAAGGUAUCUACACCUGAAUACAUAGGGUGUAAGAAGCGAACGCAGGGAACUGAAACAUCUAAGUACCUGCAGGAAAGGACAUCAACCGAGACUCCGCAAGUAGUGGCGAGCGAACGCGG
rnacentral:rRNA from 1 species